UACAGAGGGUGCGAGCGUUGUUCGGAAUUACUGGGCGUAAAGCGCACGUAGGCGGAUUGCUAAGUCAGGGGUGAAAUCCCGGAGCUCAACUCCGGAACUGCCUUUGAUACUGGCGAUCUUGAGUCCGGGAGAGGUGAGUGGAACUGCGAGUGUAGAGGUGAAAUUCGUAGAUAUUCGCAAGAACACCAGUGGCGAAGGCGGCUCACUGGCCCGGUACUGACGCUGAGGUGCGAAAGCGUGGGGAGCAAACAGG
rnacentral:rRNA from 1 species